rfam:Oryza rufipogon genomic scaffold, chr05
UUUAAAUGCAACCUGAGUUUCCGUGUCCAACUUUGAUCGUCCAUCUUAUUUGAAAUUAUUUUAUAAUUAGUAUUUUUGUUGUUAUGAGAUGAUAAAACAUAAAUAAUAUUUUACUCGUGACUUAUGUUUUUUAAAUUUUUUUUAAAUAAGACGAAUAAUCAAAAUUGGAUGUGGAAAAUCAUAGUUGCACUUAAU